rnacentral:rRNA from 1 species
AAACUUUGCAAUGUGCGCAAGCACGACAAGGUUAAUCCGAGUGUUUCCUGCUAAAGGAAUCUUUUGCUAGUCCUAAAAACACUAGCGAAUAAGGGGUGGGCAAGUUCUGGUGUCAGCCGCCGCGGUAAAACCAGCACCUCAAGUGGUCAGGAGGAUUAUUGGGCCUAAAGCAUCCGUAGCCUGCUCUGUAAGUUUCCGGUUAAAUCCAUUAGCUCAACUAAUGGCCUGCCGGAAAUACUGCAGAGCUAGGAAGUGGGAGAGGUAGACGGUACUCGGUAGGAAGGGGUAAAAUCCUUUGAUCUAUUGAUGACCACCUGUGGCGAAGGCGGUCUACCAGAACACGUUCGACGGUGAGGGAUGAAAGCUGGGGGAGCAAACCGGAUUAGAUACCCGGGUAGUCCCAGCUGUAAACGAUGCAGACUCGGUGAUGCCCUGGCUUGUGGCCAGUGCAGUGCCGCAGGGAAGCCGUUAAGUUUGCCGCCUGGGAAGUACGUACGCAAGUAUGAAACUUAAAGGAAUUGGCGGGGGAGCAC